rnacentral:rRNA from 1 species
UACGGAGGGUGCGAGCGUUGUCCGGAAUCAUUGGGCGUAAAGAGCGCGCAGGCGGUCGUUCAAGUCGCGUGUGAAAGCCCCCGGCUCAACUGGGGAGGGUCACGCGAUACUGAUCGACUCGAAGGCAGGAGAGGGAAGUGGAAUUCCCGGUGUAGUGGUGAAAUGCGUAGAUAUCGGGAGGAACACCAGUGGCGAAGGCGACUUCCUGGCCUGUUCUUGACGCUGAGGCGCGAAAGCUAGGGGAGCAAACGGG